rnacentral:lncRNA from 1 species
GGCAAGGUGUUUACUUUUGGAGAGGGACGCCACGGCCAGCUCGGUCACAACUCCACUGAUAAUGAGCUGAAACCUCGGUGGGUCCAGGGCCUGGAUGGAGUCAUCUCACAGGUUGCAUGUGGCAGGCGUCACACCCUGGCUUUGGGCUCCUCAGGCCAGCUGUGGGCUUUUGGCAAUGGGGUCAAAGGUCAGCUUGGGACUGGAGGUUCAGAAAGCAGCUUGACUCCCACGUUGGUGCGGCUUCCAUGGAUCACCGACGCUGCAGCGGCCACACCCAAAAACUUGAAAAUAGCAGCUGGAUGGAACACAAACUUCAUUCACACUGUACCAGAGGAGACUCUGGAGCGAGAGCUGCCAGUGGGGAGGCUGGAUGAGACAAAGCUGC